UUAAAAGCAUUAUCUCUUUCCUCUCUGACCUAUCCUUCAAAUUUGUCUUCACAUCCAGUGAGAUUGUAGAGGAUGCACACAUUUCUGGGAUUGGGAUCAGGAGGGGCUGAGUGAGGAUGCAUUCUCUCCGGGAUUAAUGGGCUAUCUGUGUAUUUAUGUGACUAACGUUCACUCCCUCUACAGUUACGCUGCCUUGGUGUAGAAAUAGCUUCCAGAGAUCCAUCUGCUCAUUGUGAACACCUCCCUGUGGUGACGCCAGCAACACGGCCAGAACCUGUGUCACAAUGUGCAAGCCUCCUAUGGUGCCUGGAACUGGGGGAACUUAAGUGAUGGAGAAGAAACACGGGAGAAAGCUGCAGCAUGGGAAGUGGGCUGCGGAAGACGUUUUCACCCGUCAAAUUUUGUGUACGCCACAAGCUGUGAAAUACAGAUGGGUAUAGUCUUCUCAUAAGACUGCACUCAGAAGAACAUGUGAUUCUGGAUUGUGCCAAGGUGAUAAUUAAAACUAACCAUGAAAAACUACAGGAAAAAAUACAUCAAGCAGGUCUCAGUAGGAAACAGAAUUCUAAUUCAGAAGACUCCACGUGCAAUCGCGAUCAACCAUGACGGACUAUAUUAAAGGCCCCUGC